UAAUGCAGGCGAUUUUUGACAAGUUAGGAUGUUGUCGAGCAGAUUUACCUCCAGGGGAUGAUUCAGAUUAGAUGUUACGAGAUUCCUCCUUUUGUCAUUUUGGCGCUUUCUGACAAAAAGGGGGAGAUGAUAUUAAGGUUGUGUCAUGAUGAUAUGAUGGCUCAUGAUGAUGAUGAUGUCUGAUGAGGAUGAGGAUGCUGUUUUUGAUUAGUUGUGUAAAUUUAGGCUAGAUGUUUGUUUAGGUGCUUGACUAUGAACUAUG
rnacentral:lncRNA from 1 species